GAGCAAUAUGAACUCAAGAAGAAACCUGCAUUUUAAGUUAUGAAUAGAAGGUUGCUUAGUAGGCAAAAUCCCCUCAUUACUGCUGGACAAACACUCAAGAAAAGUGGUUGGGAAGUAAGUCCAUAGCUCCGCCUUCCAAGGAAACAAACAAACAAGAAGUCAUUGACAAUAAGGCUGUGGUAUAAACUGAUGAAGAGUAGGAGAUUCAGGGAGCUGAGCAAUCCUGAGAGCACAUGUGAACAAUUAAUCUUGUUGUUUGCUGCAAACAAGCUGAACCCCUCCAGCUGCAUGGUGACAAAUCUUCAGGACUUGCCCUUCCUUUCAGAUGGGAAGCUCAGAUCUGCACCCCGCGCCCUGCUGUGCCAGCACCUGACCAGGACGAGAACGCAGUGUAUCCACUGAGCGUGAGCUCUGCUCUUUUAGAAGAUGGGCCUGGUGCUAGACUUCCCAAGUCACCUCCAGGGCUGUAAUUGGAGGUAAACAAAAUUUUCAUAUUAUGGUCUACAGAACACUGAAGCAUGAAAACUUGAAGAAUUCAAAGCAGAGGUACAGAAAAAACAGGCAGCAAUGAAGUAUGUGGCUCUUAGUACUUUAGGAGAGGCCGUUGAGCAAGACCUCCUUUGGAAUGUGGUUUGGCUGUUAAUUCUUGAUUUUGCUAACUGUUGUGUUGCUUCAGACUUUUCAGAAGUGUGUACAUAUCUAUGUUUGAAGGACUGUGGAAGGAUCCAACUGAAUCUUGCUUUGCCAGCUAGGGUUCAAAGGCUGAACUGCAAACUGUAGUUCUGAAAUGUGCCUCAGCCAUUAACUCAAGUCAGAAAUGUUACCUUUGCACACCUGUCCUAAGUAUACAGAAGAAAAACAUCAAAAAUUUUAACACAGUGGAAUUUUAUGAUCAUCCCAUGCCAGCUGUUUCAUCUUUUGACUCAAACAAUCUAUCAUGGCCUCAGCCUAAAAAUGGAGAACAUUUAAGACUAUCUUUGUCAGGGUUGAAACAAACUGUAGAAAGUAAAGUGUUCCUUUAUGAUGAGAUGCAUUAAAGCUGGCCCUUAAGUAACUUAAAGUUAAGACCAUUGAUCUUGGUUAAGGUUCAUAGGGAUCGAGAGCAUGCUGCUAACUACUAGUGGGUCUCAGUUGCCCAAAGGUAUUAAAGGAGUCAGAGUUCAGUUGCAGCUAAAAUUUCCUGUUUUCCUGGAUAUUACAAAGUAGCAGAUUUUAAAACAUGGUUAUAAGAUGGUUGCUCAAGAUGGAUUUUCAAGCAUGCUGUGAAAGGUCUGCACGUGCUUAACCUGAUGCUGUGGCCAAAUCACAUCAGUUCUUUGAUUAAAACAACAGUGCAGCAGUGCAGACCUGUUAAUUUAAGUUCUGCACAUCACAUGCCCAGUACGUCCAAGGGAUUUUAGAAAUCUGCGGCUUCCAAAAGAACAAGUUAUAGGGAAAAGGAGAAAAGCUGAUGAUGAUGGAGGCAAAGAUUUGCAAACAUUACCUGUGAUUAAAUUAUGGGACAGACAUAGACAUGGGAUGGAAGAAACUGCAAGAAACAAGUUCACAGGACUGAAGGGUUCCUGGAGGCUCUGAACAAGGUGCCAGUCUGAUGGGGCUGCCUGCAUACGCAUAUGAAAGCGAUGCCAUGCAAGAGUCCACUGAUAUCUAGGGAGAGAAAGAGGAGGAAAGCCCAACUAGUACUGAGGCCCUGUUAGAGAGUCUGCAGAGAUCAAGGACAUUCAAAGUUCUCUCUUGAAACAG
rnacentral:lncRNA from 1 species